rnacentral:rRNA from 1 species
GAUGAACGCUAGCGGCAGGCCUAAUACAUGCAAGUCGAACGGGAUUGCGGUAGUAGCUUGCUACUACUGCAUGAGAGUGGCGCACGGGUGCGUAACGCGUGAGCAACCUACCCAUAUCAGGGGGAUAGCCCGGCGAAAGUCGGAUUAACACCGCAUAACAUCAACAGUUCGCAUGUUCAGUUGAUUAAAUAUUUAUAGGAUAUGGAUGGGCUCGCGUGACAUUAGCUAGUUGGUAGGGUAACGGCUUACCAAGGCAACGAUGUCUAGGGGCUCUGAGAGGAGAAUCCCCCACACUGGUACUGAGACACGGACCAGACUCCUACGGGAGGCAGCAGUAAGGAAUAUUGGGCAAUGGGCGCAAGCCUGAACCAGCCAUGCCGCGUGCAGGAGGACUGCCCUAUGGGUUGUAAACUGCUUUUAUCAGGGAAUAAACCCCUUUACGAGUAGAGGGUUGAAUGUACCUGAAGAAUAAGGAUCGGCUAACUCCGUG